ACAGGGAUUGCCCUAGUAACGGCGAGUGAAGCGGCAACAGCUCAAAUUUGAAAUCUGGCGUCUUUGGCGUCCGAGUUGUAAUUUGCAGAGGGCGCUUUGGCAUUGGCAGCGGUCCAAGUUCCUUGGAACAGGACGUCACAGAGGGUGAGAAUCCCGUACGUGGUCGCUAGCCUUUACCGUGUAAAGCCCCUUCGACGAGUCGAGUUGUUUGGGAAUGCAGCUCUAAAUGGGAGGUAAAUUUCUUCUAAAGCUAAAUACUGGCCAGAGACCGAUAGCGCACAAGUAGAGUGAUCGAAAGAUGAAAAGCACUUUGGAAAGAGAGUUAAAAAGCACGUGAAAUUGUUGAAAGGGAAGCGCUUGCAGCCAGACUUGCCUGUAGUUGCUCAUCCGGGUUUUUACCCGGUGCACUCUUCUACGGGCAGGCCAGCAUCAGUUUGGGCGGUUGGAUAAAGGUCUCUGUCAUGUACCUCCUCUCGGGGAGAUCUUAUAGGGGAGACGACAUGCAACCAGCCUGGACUGAGGUCCGCGCAUCUGCUAGGAUGCUGGCGUAAUGGCUGUAAGCGGCCCGUCUUGAAACACGGACCAAGGAGUCUAACAUCUAUGCGAGUGUUUGGGUGUCAAGCCCGAACGCGUAAUGAAAGUGAACGGAGGUGGGAACCUUUCGGGGUGCACCAUCGACCGAUCCUGAUGUCUUCGGAUGGAUUUGAGUAAGAGCAUAGCUGUUGGGACCCGAAAGAUGGUGAACUAUGCUUGAAUAGGGUGAAGCCAGAGGAAACUCUGGUGGAGGCUCGCAGCGGUUCUGACGUGCAAAUCGAUCGUCAAAUUUGGGCAUAGGGGCGAAAGACUAAUCGAACUAUCUAGUAGCUCGUUCCUGCCGAAGUUUCCCUCAGGAUAGCAGUAACGUUUUCAGUUUUAUGAGGUAAAGCGAAUGAUUAGAGGCCUGGGGGUUGAAACAACCUU
rnacentral:rRNA from 1 species